GCUUGCAUUUAUUGCUAUGUACACAUUAGCUUAAAGUGCUGCUAGGUCAUUCUGUUUCUCAAUUUGGAUCAAAGUUGUUUUGGGGGACACAGUAUUUCGUAAGGAACAAAAGAGUAGAUACGGGGUAGACAUGGAUUGUGACUAAUGUUGUGCAUGCACCACUUCUCAAGGCAGCAAUAGGAGUGCACCACAUUUCAUUAGUGUGUGCGCCCCGGGGAAUUUUGCCUUUGUGGACAAGAGGAAGGAGUGCUCUUGGGGAAGGGCCUGGGCUGUGCCCUUGAGCACAAAACACAACCUUAACCUUGGAGGGGCCCCUGCUGCUGCUUGAGAUGACAUAACAAUGCAGGGCCCCCACGUGUUCAUACCACAAAAGCAGCCCUUCACCUCCACAUGUCUCUCUGCAAAAGGUGGUGAGCUGAAGGCUCCUUGCAAGCCAACUAAAACACGUUCCCACAUCAACCAAUUUCAUUACAGUGCAACAUAAUAGCAACCAUACACAAAGACAGCAUUUCAGUACUAUAAAUAUAACAUGAUCGCAUCAACCAGAUUAUACCUCCUGGCAAUAGUAACAAUAGCAAGGGAGCUUUGUCAGUUUUACCUUGGUCCUGGAAACCCCUCUGCCCCGUGAUGUUGCUCAGAGUCCCUCUCCUGCAGCAACUUGCUAGGCUUCCAGAGGCAGCCCGGUGGAAACACUCCUCCUGUGGUGUUGUUCCUCCCUUCCCACUGAUAAGACUCACCUGGCACCAGGUCAGCACAUCUUUAUUUCAUCAGGCAUAUUAAUCAUAAGGCUUUCAAUUUACUGUAUUAAUGCUUUGCUGCAGUUGGUUUUGUUUAGUUAGAUUUACACUGCGGUUGUUUUAUUCUGUUUGGCUUGUUUAAUCUUUAUGGGUUUAAAUUUUAUUGUUAACGAUCCUGAGAGUGUUCACUGUUUACUUGUAAAAAAUAAAAUAAAAGUGUGUAUAGGAUUGUAGCCUUAAGCACAUGCUUCUUAUGACUUGAGGCUGCCUGCAGAUUAAGGUAGUCAACUAAGUUCCAAACUUGUGUUUGAUGGAAAAAAGGGAGAGGACCUUUCCUGUUGCUCACCCAGGUGUUGAAACUCGUGAGGAAGAGCAUUAGUCAUGGUGUUUAAACCUUCCUGUUUAGAAAGGAUUGGCUUAACCUUAUCAUCCUGAGUACAACAGUGUAUUGGGAGGGUUUUAAAAUGAAAAACAUGGAUUUUUAAUUAAAUGUUAUUGCUGGUCUUAUCUGUUCUCUCUUGAUCUGCUGCUCUGUUGCAUUACUGCUUGAUUCUGGCAUACAAGUCAUGUUUACCUUUUAUAAGGAAAGGUGGGUAUACUUUUUUUAAAAAUGUUAUCACAUGCUGAAACCAAUUAGCCUUAUAAAGGCUUGGCUUGGCCAGAAUCAUGCAAUGUUUGUAGUUAAAGUAAGCACACUUUAGUACUCCUGGAACAAAGCAUGAUAUACUUCAGAGGUCAUCAAUGUGGGCACAAUAGUUUCCAUGAGGACCUCCCUUGGUACCCAUUAAUCUUUUGCAUCUCACUUCCCACUCACUGUCCCCUGAGUCAUAGAGUGGCAAGGGUGAUCACCUCCCCACCCUGCCCUCUGCUUGAAGAGUAAAUGGAGCUGCAGUAGGAAGUGAAAGGAGCAGCAAUUUCCCCCACUUCCUCUCUCAGCUCUAUGUGCUUUUCAAGGCUCAGACUGGCACCUGAACAGCUGAACUGAAAGUGGAACAGGCUUGUUUUCUCCUGCUCUGGAGACUCAAACCAACGGCUUCAAGUUACAAGAAAGGAGAUUCCAACUAAACAUACGGUGGGGGGGGGCACUUCUGACAGUAAGAGCUGUUUGACAGUGGAAUGGUCUCCCUCAGGAGGUUGUGGACUCUCCUUCCUUGGAGGUUUUUAAACAGAGGCUGGAUGGCCACCUGUCAUGGAUCCUUUAGCUGAGAUUGCAGGCUGUUGGACUAGAUGACCCUUGAGCUUCCAUCCAACUCUACAAUUGUAUGAUUCUAUGGAGCAGCCAAGACUGAGGGCAGAGAGUGAACCUGGGGGGACAGAGUCCAGACUGAAUGAUUCUCUCGAAAUUGCGUACUUUAUCAUGGGUCUUCAUUCUCCUCUUCUACCGCCACCCUUCACAGAGCUACCAUUUCCAUCCUUAACAAACUACAGUUUACAGUGGUAUCUCAGGCUAAGUACUUAAUUUGUUCCGGAGGUCUGUUCUUAACCUGAAACUGUUCUUAACCUGAAGCACCACUUUAGCUAAUGGGGCCUCCCGCUGCCGCCGCGCCACCGGAGCACGAUUUCUGUUCUCAUCCUGAAGCAAAGUUCUUAACCUGAAGCACUAUUUCUGGGUUAGCAGAGUCUGUAACCUGAAGCGUAUGUAACCUGAAGCAUAUGUAACCUGAGGUACCACUGUAUUAGGAUUCUUCUUUAGGGCAAGCUGUCAUGUACUUUAAAUGUGCAUUGAAUGUGCUUUUUUUAAAUAUUAAUCUUUUUAGGUUUAAAAAUCAACACAUACACACAAAUAAUAUUUAGGAAAAAAGCAAAGAAGAAAACAAAAACAAAACAGACAAAGAAAUAGCAAAAUUAUGCAAAAGAAAAAAUCUUUUACAAACAAACAAACAAAGAUAUGUAGCACUGCUUCACCAAUAAACAGCGGUUCCGUCAACCAACACGUUGAAUGUGCUUUAAAUGUAUAGUGUGGAUGCGCCCUAAACUGGUGAAAUGUAAAAGGAUAGCUUAAGUCAUUUUUGGAAAAGCCUUGAUAUAGUAAAUGAAAUUCAUGCACUGAAAAUUGUUUUUUACAUUUUUGUUAGGUAUUCGUAUAAGCUUGGUGGAAGGGGGACAACCGACUGCACACACCAAGAUACAUACAGAUACGCGUGAUCCAUGCUUGACAUAAAGUGAAUAUAUUUUGUACUCGGUCUCCGAAUACAAGAAGUCAAAUGAGG
rnacentral:lncRNA from 1 species